AUUGAACGCUGGCGGCAGGCCUAACACAUGCAAGUCGAACGGCAGCACAGAAGAGCUUGCUCUUCGGGUGGCGAGUGGCGGACGGGUGAGUAAUGUCUGGGAAACUGCCCGAUGGAGGGGGAUAACUACUGGAAACGGUAGCUAAUACCGCAUAACGUCGCGAGCCCAAAGUGGGGGACCUUCUGGCCUCACACCAUCGGAUGUGCCCAGAUGGGAUUAGCUAGUAGGUGGGGUAACGGCUCACCUAGGCGACGAUCCCUAGCUGGUCUGAGAGGAUGACCAGCCACACUGGAACUGAGACACGGUCCAGACUCCUACGGGAGGCAGCAGUGGGGAAUAUUGCACAAUGGGCGCAAGCCUGAUGCAGCCAUGCCGCGUGUAUGAAGAAGGCCUUCGGGUUGUAAAGUACUUUCGGCGGGGAGGAAGGCGAUGUGGUUAAUAACCGCGUCGAUUGACGUUACCCGCAGAAGAAGCACCGGCUAACUCCGUG
rnacentral:rRNA from 1 species